CGUCCGCGAGGGCGGGGGACGGGCGGGGAGAAGUCAGCAGAAGCCAUAGUAGCCGACCUCGGCGGCGAAGGGC
rnacentral:ncRNA from 1 species